CCUACGGGAGGCAGCAGUAGGGAAUAUUGCUCAAUGGGGGAAACCCUGAAGCAGCAACGCCGCGUGGAGGAAGAAGGUUUUCGGAUUGUAAACUCCUUUUGUUAGAGAAGAUAAUGACGGUAUCUAACGAAUAAGCACCGGCUAAAUCCGUGCCAGCAGCCGCGGUAAUACGGAGGGUGCAAGCGUUACUCGGAUUCACUGGGCGUAAAGAGAGAGGAGGCGGGUUAGCAAGUCAGAUGUGAAAUCCUAGGGCUUAACCAUAGAACUGCAUUUGAAACUGUUAUUCUGGAGUAUGGGAGAGGUAGGUGGAAUUCUUGGUGUAGCGGUAAAAUCCGUAGAGAUCAAGAGGAAUACUCAUUGCGAAGGCGACCUGCUAGAACAUAACUGACGCUGAUGCGCGAAAGCGUGGGGAGCAAACAGGAUUAGAUACCCCGGUAGUC
rnacentral:rRNA from 1 species